GAUGAACGCUGGCGGCGUGCCUAAUACAUGCAAGUCGAGCGAACAGACGAGGAGCUUGCUCCUCUGACGUUAGCGGCGGACGGGUGAGUAACACGUGGAUAACCUACCUAUAAGACUGGGAUAACUUCGGGAAACCGGAGCUAAUACCGGAUAAUAUAUUGAACCGCAUGGUUCAAUAGUGAAGGACGGUUUUGCUGUCACUUAUAGAUGGAUCCGCGUCGCAUUAGCUAGUUGGUAAGGUAACGGCUUACCAAGGCAACGAUGCGUAGCCGACCUGAGAGGGUGAUCGGCCACACUGGAACUGAGACACGGUCCAGACUCCUACGGGAGGCAGCAGUAGGGAAUCUUCCGCAAUGGGCGAAAGCCUGACGGAGCAACGCCGCGUGAGUGAUGAAGGUCUUCGGAUCGUAAAACUCUGUUAUUAGGGAAGAACAAAUGUGUAAGUAACUAUGCACGUCUUGACGGUACCUAAUCAGAAAGCCACGGCUAACUACGUG
rnacentral:rRNA from 1 species